rnacentral:rRNA from 1 species
CCUACGGGAGGCAGCAGUGGGGAAUAUUGCGCAAUGGGCGAAAGCCUGACGCAGCUACGCCGCGUGCGGGAUGAAGGUCCUCGGAUCGUAAACCUCUGUCAGCAGGGAAGAACGGUCACUGUGCUAAUCAGCAGUGAAUUGACGGCACCUGCAAAGGAAGCACCGGCUAACUCCGUGCCAGCAGCCGCGGUAAUACGGAGGGUGCGAGCGUUAAUCGGAAUUACUGGGCGUAAAGCGCUCGUAGGCGGUAUGUCAAGUCAAGGGUGAAAUCCCCGCGCUCAACGUGGGAACUGCCUUUGAAACUGGCAGACUGGAGUGUGUGAGAGGAUAGUGGAAUUCCAGGUGUAGGAGUGAAAUCCGUAGAUAUCUGGAGGAACAUCAGUGGCGAAGGCGACUAUCUGGCACAUAACUGACGCUGAGGAGCGAAAGCGUGGGUAGCAAACAGGAUUAGAUACCCUUGUAGUC